UACGUAGGGUGCAAGCGUUAAUCGGAAUUACUGGGCGUAAAGCGUGCGCAGGCGGUUCGGAAAGAAAGAUGUGAAAUCCCAGGGCUUAACCUUGGAACUGCAUUUUUAACUGCCGGGCUAGAGUAUGUCAGAGGGGGGUAGAAUUCCACGUGUAGCAGUGAAAUGCGUAGAGAUAUGGAGGAAUACCGAUGGCGAAGGCAGCCCCCUGGGAUAAUACUGACGCUCAUGCACGAAAGCGUGGGGAGCAAACAGG
rnacentral:rRNA from 1 species